UACGGGGGGUGCGAGCGUUGUCCGGAAGCACUGGGCGUAAAGGGCGCGUAGGUGGCCUGAUAAGGGUGUGGUGAAAGUCCGGGGCUCAACCCCGGAUCUGCCGUGCCGACUGUUGGGCUGGAGUACUGUAGGGGCAGGCGGAAUUCCGGGUGUAGCGGUGGAAUGCGUAGAGAUGUGGAGGAACACCAGUGGCGAAGGCGGCUUUUUGGUCUGUAACUGACGCUGAGGCGCGAAAGCGUGGGGAGCAAACAGG
rnacentral:rRNA from 1 species